rnacentral:rRNA from 1 species
AACGAACGCUGGCGGCAUGCCUAACACAUGCAAGUCGAACGAGACCUUCGGGUCUAGUGGCGCACGGGUGCGUAACGCGUGGGAACCUGCCCUUAGGUUCGGAAUAACUCCCCGAAAGGGGUGCUAAUACCGGAUAAUGUCUUCGGACCAAAGAUUUAUCGCCUUUGGAUGGGCCCGCGUUGGAUUAGCUAGUUGGUAGGGUAAAAGCCUACCAAGGCGACGAUCCAUAGCUGGUCUGAGAGGAUGAUCAGCCACACUGAGACUGAGACACGGCCCAGACUCCUACGGGAGGCAGCAGUGGGGAAUAUUGGACAAUGGGCGAAAGCCUGAUCCAGCAAUGCCGCGUGAGUGAUGAAGGCCUUAGGGUUGUAAAGCUCUUUUACCCGGGAUGAUAAUGACAGUACCGGGUGAAUAAGCUCCGGCUAACUCCGUG